rnacentral:lncRNA from 1 species
AUGUGUCUGCAGGCUGCAGAGACAGGGGAUCUGAGGAGGGAGUGGAUUGGCCAGCUGUGGAGGGCCAUGCAUCUCUCAGGCCCAUGGGGCACAGACCCAGGCUGCAUACGACAGCAGGAUGUGAGGUCUGAUGACCUGAAGGCCAGAGGUCGCUUCAGCACCUAUAACAGCUCAGAAUGUGACAGCAUGAUGGAACCACUGGGGGUUCAUCGACACCUCUCUGCACCCCUCAACCCCUCCACCCCUGACCAAGACCUAGACCAGGGACACAGGAUUACCCACUGCCUCUCUGGCCCCCUCACCCCUGACCAAAAUCUGGGGCACAGGGCUACCCUCUCUCUUUCCCUCACUGAUGAGCUCAGUAAUGAGGAAGCCAUAUACCAGAACACCAUCUCACAUUGUAAGUAGAGCAUCAAUCCUCUGUAAACUCAGCAAACUUAAGUGGAAAUAUGUUUGUUUUUUCAUUCACAUUGGCUGUGCCAAGCAGUUGGAGGGAAUCAAUGGUUUGGUUGUCUAGUGGAAAGAGGAAAUGGGCACGUUGUGGCAUUUAAUGCUUUGGUGGUGAGGUGGGGAGAGUUACAGGAAUUCAAUUCCUCUAUGUUUUAAUACCCAAUUAAAAUUAAACACUCUGUCAAUUCAUAAGAAUUUGUAAGACCCUUAUUUGUAUAAAAUGGACAGAGACCAGUCCUUUGAAAUCAACCAGCUGCGUUUAUUCUCGAGAGUACUGCCCAUGAUACAGUUUAUCACAGGUUAUAAACUGAAAAUAACAUCAGUGUUUUCUAAACUGUUCCGUCUCUUCUUGACACUGGUACAAAGGCUGUAUAGUUCUCAAGCCUACCCACAUCGUCUAGAGCCAAGGUCAGCCUGUGUAGAUAAGCAUUCUAGCCAGUCUGGCGAUAUAGUUCAUUCAUUUCUACCAAGGAACAGACAGUAAUGGUUCUAAUUCUUGAUUAUAUUUACACACAUUAUAUUCAGUACUAGGAUUAAAAAGAAAAUUCAUACAUCUAUACAGUAACAUAAUAGUAUUCUGAUUAGUCAGUCCUGAUUGAAAUGUAUACAUAAUUAGUCAUUAUUGAUCAAAUUCCCUUAACAGGGAGCCAAGCUGUAGCUUCAGCUCUGAAAUAUGGCAACAUCUUUUCACUGUAAUUUCAGAUGGAGAGGAGGAUGAAGACAGUGUCCAUAGAUUUAGAAGGAGAUGUGAGGAGGAGAGAGAUGAAGAAGAGGAGGAAGAGUGUAAGGAGGAAGAGGAUCAGUAUGACAUUCUACCAGCUCCCCGGAACUGUGAGUACUACCCUCAUGGUCACAUCAGUGUGUCGUUAUAUGUCAUAAAUCAAUAAAUUAUCCAUCAUAAAUGUCAUAAAUUCUUCCAUUAUGGAGACCACUGUAUAGGAUAUAAAAUACAAGUAGAUAUCAUCAUAUUACAUGAUAAUGACUUAUGUUAAUGGUCUGUGUUUGAUAAAUGACCAAAAACCUACCUGCCAUUUCCUCUGUAGCUGAGUAUCACAUCAACCAAUCAGAUGAAGACUUGACUGAUGGAGAGGACCUCUAUGACUUCCCACUGUCCAAUAGGAGGGCAAGUGACCGCCAAGGUGAGAUUAUGAAAAUGUUUAUUUUUCAAUUGAUUGGGUUUUAAAUUAAUUCAAUAUUUUUCAUUUGUUUACCAGCAAAUUUAAGUGUAUUUGGGUUUAUUUUCAUGUUCUAUCUCAGAUUAUAGAGAGAUGACAGAGAGCAUCUAUGACGUCCCCAGUUCCCUAAUGAGGAAAAUGUCUGAACACACACUUGGUGAGUAUGACAGCAGCGUUCUAGUUCUAAUUCCCUUUUCAUACAUUUCUGUUUUCUGCUCAUUUUAUAGACACACAAAUAUAAGGGCCCUUUCAUUCUAUAUCCUUGAAUAGCACGGUGUAAAGGUCAUUUACGAUUUUAGUUUUUAUUUAUCCUUUAUUUACCUAGGCAAGUCAGUUAAGAACAAAUUCUUAUUUACAAUGACGGCCGGCCAAACCCGGACGACGUUUGGCCAAUUGUGCACCGCCCUAUGGGACUCCCAAUCACGGCCAGAUGUGAUGCAGGCUGGAUUCAAACCAGGGACUUCAGUGACGCCUCUUGCACUGAGAUGCAGUGCCUUAGACAGUUGAGCCGACAUAUGCAGCAUUUGCCGUGAAUGCAGUCUCCGCUAAGAAAGAAACAUUGCCUUUAAAUGUAAAUCACGCUGUGAUGCUGAACUCCCGCGAUACGGAUUGAAUAGAGCCCUAACAUAUCCUAAGAAUGGUAUACUUUUAUUUAAAGGAAUGUGUAGAACCAGAAGCAAAGUAGACACUAUUUCCCUCCUAUCUACCCCAUGAAAAUCCUAACCAGACUCAUCAUCAGUAUUAACAAAAACACACACGUCUUUAUCCCUCACUCUCAUAGCAGAGCCUUACCCUGGAGGUGAGAUACUGGUGGAGGACAGGGGCCUCCUGGAUGACAUGAUGGCCAGUCUGGGUGGAGGGACGGUGGGCUGGAUAACAGGUGCUUCUACUGUGGAGCCCUACGGGCUGGCUCAUCAUGGCUCUUAGGACUGGUAUAUAGUAUAGACUCUGGAUAAUAUAGACUGAAUGAGUUUUCCUCAUUCAAAUUGUUCUAUAAAGCUUGACGCAUUCUGUUAGAGAUUUAAAUAUGUUUACAUUUUAUGAAAAAAAAUCUCAUUUGUCAUGAUAUUCUAUUCUAUUGACUUCUCUUUUAAUACAAUCUACUGUCAAGGAAAUACCAUAUUAAAUAACUAACUUCAUACUGUCAAAGUGUUCCACUUAGUAUAAUGUCAGGAGAGAGGUACUAUAGUAUUCAGGCAGACCCUAUCCUUCUUUUUUAGGAGGUAGAUCAGCUUUAAUACUGCAGAUACAUUGUGGCUUCUAUCAAUGUAAUUGUCUGCAUCAUUUCCAAUCACACAUGUAUAUUUUUUGUAAAUAUAUAGAGUAUAUAUUAUUUUAAAUAUAUAUACAUUUUAAAUAUAUUUAGCUUCUUUAUUAUUUUCCCCUAACCCUACCACGCCUCCCUUAAUUGGAGUAAACAAAUGAAAUAGAUUUGACUUGUUUAUUAAUUUCCCCUAACCCAACAAUACUUAGGCUUCCACUUCCAGGUUAUACAUACUACAUACAUUUAAUGGAAAAUAUAUUUUAAAAUCAGUUAUCUUCUGUUUGUUUUUAGUCCCAGCCUUCAGCUACCAUCAACCCCUCCCAUCUACAGUGAGGGGGAAAAGUAUUUGAUCCCCUGCUGAUUUUGUAUGUUUGCCCACUGACAAAGAAAUGAUCAGUCUAUCAUUUUAAUGGUAGGUUUAUUUGAACAGUGAGAGACAGAAUAACAACGAAAAAUAUCCAGAAAAACACAUGUCAAAAAUGUUAUAAAUUGAUUUGCAUUUUAAUGAGGGAAAUAAGUAUUUGACCCCUCUGCAAAACAUGACUUAGUACUUGGUGGCAAAACCCUUGUUGGCAAUCACAGAGGUCAGAUGUUUCUUGUAGUUGGCCACCAGGUUUACACACAUCUCAGGAGGGAUUUUGUCCCACUCCUCUUUGCAGAUCUUCUCCAAGUCAUUAAGGUUUCGAGGCUGGCGUUUAGCAACUCGAACCUUCAGCUCCCUCCACAGAUUUUCUAUGGGAUUAAGGUCUGGAGACUGGCUAGGCCACUCCAGGACCUUAAUGGGCUUCUUCUUGAGCCACUCCUUUGUUGCCUUGGCCGUGUGUUUUGGGUCAUUGUCAUGCUGGAAUACCCAUCCACGACCCAUUUUCAAUGCCCUGGCUGAGGGAAGGAGGUUCUCACCCAAUAUUUGAGUUGUCCUGUCCCCUUAGCAGAAAAACACCCCCCAAAACACACACCAAGUACUAAGUCAUGUUUUGCAGAGGGGUCAAAUACUUAUUUCCCUCAUUAAAAUGCAAAUCAAUUUAUAACAUUUUUGACAUGCGUUUUUGUGGAUUUUGUUGUUGUUAUUCUGUCUCUCACUGUUCAAAUAAACCUACCAUUAUAAAUAUAGACUGAUCAUUUCUUUGUCGGUGGGCAAACGUACAAAAUCAGCAGGGGAUCAAAAACUUUUUUCCCUCACUGUAUCUUUGAAGACCAUCCAAUUUAGAUUUUUUGAUUUCACCUUUAUUUAACCAGGUAGGCUAGUUGAGAACACCUUUAUUUAACCAGGUAGGCUAGUUGAGAACAAGUUCUCAUUUGCAGCUGUGACCUGGCCAAGAUAAAGCAAAGCAGUUCGACAUAUACAACAACACAGAGUUAUGCGUGGAAUAAACAAACAUACAAUCAAUAAUACAGUAAUACAAUACAUUUCUGGCUGCCAUAUAUUUUUCAACUGUGCUGUGAUGUUUCAUAAAAGUUCUGUACCUUUCUAUACUCAUAGUUUCUACAGAUUGUAAAUGAAAGAUAAACACCUUUGCUAAGAGUAUUAUUAUACUAUUGAUCGAUUGACUAUGACUUUUUAAAUCACCCAGCAGACCUAUUUGUAAAGUUGGUUCCAAGUAAAUUUGGCAAUUUUUCGGCCAUUUCUGAACCUGCGACCAAAAACAAGCUACAUAUGGACAGUACCAAAACAAAUGAUCCAAAUAUUCUGUCUCUUUGCAACAAAAUCUGCAAAGCUGGGAUGGUUGUAGCCUCAUAUAUAUAACAUUCUAUUGGUUGUAAGAAUGUUAUAGAAUAUUUUAAAUGGAAAAACUCCGGCUGUGUUUUUUGGUCCUUAAAUGAAACUGGUAUACUUUGUUAUUUAUCACAAUUUUCUUUAGAAAAAUGUUGGUAUUUAAUGCAGGGCCGACAGACAAGUUCCUUACCUUCUCCCCUUUCCACCUGCCUCCGCCAUUUUUGCGGUAAUGCUGCAAUCAGUUGGUUGUAAUUUUGGAUAGAACAGACAUUUCCAUAUAUUUUUUGUUAACUGCAUGUAUGAAAUAACUCCACCAGUCCUAUUUCUGAUAUAAUUUACAAAGAUUAUACUUUUUUUAAAUCAAUUAGUAUAUUUGAUUUCAACCAUAGUAUUUGUUCUAAUAUUUGUUCUGUCUUUUCUGGUGGAUUAAACUGAAAUUGCAACCAGCUUUCUAUUGCUUGUU